rnacentral:rRNA from 1 species
UACGUAGGUGGCAAGCGUUGUCCGGAUUUACUGGGUGUAAAGGGCGCGUAGGCGGGAAUAUAAGUCAGGUGUGAAAUCUAUGGGCUCAACCCAUAAACUGCACUUGAAACUGUAUUUCUUGAGUGAUGGAGAGGCAGGCGGAAUUCCUAGUGUAGCGGUGAAAUGCGUAGAUAUUAGGAGGAACACCAGUGGCGAAGGCGGCCUGCUGGACAUUAACUGACGCUGAGGCGCGAAAGCGUGGGGAGCAAACAGGAUUAGAUACCCCGGUA